CCCGGACCAAGGAGAACUUCUAGGGGGGGAGACGACACGGAGCCCUGGCCGGAAACCAACAACGACCGCAGAAUAGUUUCCAAUAAGCUACACUUGCAAAAUAGCUAGUCUUUGGAUUCAUAUCUAAGGUCUGAUGUGUGAGACCGGCUUGGGACACCGAACCCAGCCGUCAGUGGGCGAAUAUCUGCAAGUGUGCAUAGCUACACAGCCGCAAGUGGGAGGGCCUUGUUCGUUCCCACAUCUGAUUGGUUAACCGGCUACCUUUAAAUAGAAACCCAAACAGCGUGACAAGAUCUGAGGCGUGGAAGAACCAAGCUAAGCAGAUUCACGUGCCAGAUUGUCGUGCCCGACAUGGCAGAGAUCCGGCAGGUUCAUGAGUCUGUGAGGCAUUUGGACAAUGUACUUGAGGUGUUCCUCUGUAAGAAGUGCCCUAAUUAUCAUUGCCCUCUUUGCCCCGCUGAAAGAGUACAAUUCAAGGCUGUGCACGAGGCAGUGGGACAUCUCCAGAAUCAUUUAACAUGGACAGUUGUUCAUGGGUGUAAGUUAUUACUGUCAUAUGCCGAGAUGUUUUGAGAUAUUGUGUAACUCGUUCAUUAGUGCCUUUCUUCAACAUUUAAAAUGGUUAUUAAAAAGAAAA